UACAGAGGGUGCAAGCGUUGUUCGGAAUUAUUGGGCGUAAAGCGCGUGUAGGCGGCUUUGCAAGUCGGGUGUGAAAGCCCUCAGCUCAACUGAGGAAGUGCGCCCGAAACUGCAGAGCUUGAGUGCCGGAGAGGGUGGCGGAAUUCCCCAAGUAGAGGUGAAAUUCGUAGAUAUGGGGAGGAACACCGGUGGCGAAGGCGGCCACCUGGACGGUAACUGACGCUGAUGCGCGAAAGCGUGGGUAGCAAACAGG
rnacentral:rRNA from 1 species